GACGAACGCUGGCGGCGUGCUUAACACAUGCAAGUCGAACGGGAUCCGGGCUUUCGGGUUUGGUGAGAGUGGCGAACGGGUGAGUAACACGUGAGUAACCUGCCCCCUUCUUUGGGAUAACGUCGGGAAAUCGGCGCUAAUACUGGAUAUUCUUGCUGCAUCGCAUGGUGUGGUUUGGAAAGGGUUUCUGGUGGGGGAUGGGCUCGCGGCCUAUCAGCUUGUUGGUGGGGUGAUGGCCUACCAAGGCUUUGACGGGUAGCCGGCCUGAGAGGGUGUCCGGCCACACUGGGACUGAGACACGGCCCAGACUCCUACGGGAGGCAGCAGUGGGGAAUAUUGCACAAUGGGCGCAAGCCUGAUGCAGCGACGCCGCGUGAGGGAUGACGGCCUUCGGGUUGUAAACCUCUUUCAGUAUGGAACAAGGAUCCUUCUUGUGGGGGGUUUGAGGGUACGUGCAGAAGAAGCGCCGGCUAACUACGUG
rnacentral:rRNA from 1 species